CUACUGUUAAGUCUUUACAAGUUUGUGAAAUCCCAGGUAUGCAUUUGUUCCGAGCUCAACAAGAUUGAAGUAAGUUUUCGUGAGCUGCAGAAACUAAAUCAAGAAAAGAACAAUAGAGAAUUAUAUUCAAUUGAAGUGCUGGAACUCUUCUGAUAUUACCAGUCCUCCUUCAUAGACGUUUUAUGAAGCUCUUUUAUGUGAAUUCUUCCUACUCAUCCAGGCAAGAGAUGUGUUUUGUUUGUGACUGUGUCUCAGUGACGAGAAAUGUGUCAGCUAGUACCUGGACCAUCACUUACUGAUGCUCCUAGGUUGGACUGUAGGUUUCACGUGAACCUCUUAGUUUAUGGACAUUGGUGGGGGAAGGUUCUGAAACUUUUUUUAAAUAUGUAACUGAGCUGAUUUUAAGUAAACUUAUUUGUGUAUUGAUAAAAAUCUAAUUUCUUACCGUG